CCUACGGGAGGCAGCAGUGGGGAAUAUUGCGCAAUGGGCGAAAGCCUGACGCAGCAACGCCGCGUGCGGGAUGAAGGCCUUCGGGUUGUAAACCGCUUUCAGCAGGGAAGAAGCGAAAGUGACGGUACCUGCAGAAGAAGCACCGGCUAACUACGUGCCAGCAGCCGCGGUAAUACGUAGGGUGCAAGCGUUGUCCGGAUUUAUUGGGCGUAAAGAGCUCGUAGGCGGUUAGUCACGUCGGAUGUGAAAACCCAGUGCUUAACACUGGGCCUGCAUUCGAUACGGGCUGACUAGAGUGUUGUAGGGGAGACUGGAACUCCUGGUGUAGCGGUGAAAUGCGCAGAUAUCAGGAAGAACACCGGUGGCGAAGGCGGGUCUCUGGGCAACUACUGACGCUGAGGAGCGAAAGCGUGGGGAGCAAACAGGAUUAGAUACCCUGGUAGUCCACGCCGUAAACGGUGGGCGCUAGGUGUGGGGAACAUUCCACGUUCUCCGUGCCGCAGCUAACGCAUUAAGCGCCCCGCCUGGGGAGUACGGCCGCAAGGCUGAAACUCAAAGGAAUUGACGG
rnacentral:rRNA from 1 species